UGGCGGACGGGUGAGUAACGCGUAAAGAACUUGCCCUUUAGACUGGGAUAACAGAGGGAAACUUCUGAUAAUACUGGAUAAGUUAGUAUAUCGCAUGAUAUGCAAAUGAAAGCUACGGCACUAAAGGAGAGCUUUGCGUCCUAUUAGCUAGUUGGUAAGGUAAGAGCUUACCAAGGCGAUGAUAGGUAGCCGGCCUGAGAGGGUGGACGGCCACAAGGGGACUGAGAUACGGCCCUUACUCCUACGGGAGGCAGCAGCU
rnacentral:rRNA from 1 species